AGAUUUAAAACCCCCAGAAAGAAGAAAUAUCAAGCAAAUCAAGACUAAACCUCCCCAGAACCAACCCGACUUUCAACGAAAUUAAACCAAUAGAACUGAUAUAACACUGAUACGCCGUUUAAUGAUGUUUUCGGCUGAAACAGUACAACAGUCGCCAGCUAAACAUUUUUCCGUCCGAACUCAUUAGAAAGAACGAUCAAAGAACGCGAUUCGACGGUAUAUCUCGGCGGUAUUAGUGGAUUCGGGGUUCAUACCGGUGGUUUGGGACUUUUUCUGGUGACAGUGAACGAGAAAGUGACUGUUAUGCUUUUUUCGGUAGCGAUUUCGGUAGGAUUUUCGCCGGAAAAUACCUACCUCAUUGUCUUCGUCGCUCUUUCAGUCUCUCUCUCCCUCGCAGUUCUCUACUCUCUCGUUUUCUCUCUCUACUUCUCUUUCUCUUACUCUCACUUUUUAUUCUUUCUCAAGCUCUCUCCCUCUUUUCUCUCGAUUUCUCCCUUUCACUCUCUCUUUUAUCCCAUUUUUCUUCCAAUCUGGUGUAUGUGUAUGUGAGUAUAUGUGUGUAGCUUGGGGGUUUGAAAAAAUGGAGUCCCCUCAUCUGUAAUGGAUGAUGAUGUGUAUAUGUAUAUUCUGUAAAGGACUAAUUCCAAAUUAGGAGUAUGUAGGUCCCCCCCUCUUUUAUUGUUAUUUUUGUUUUUCUUCUUUUUUCUGUGAGUGGGAGUGGGGUAGUUGGGGCGUAGGGUAUAGGGUAGGUGGGGUAGUGGCGGUUAGGAUAGGAUAAGAUUUGUUCGGGAGUUCGUUUAAAGUUGUUAUUUUUGUAUUUUUACGGGGUAUAAUUACAUGGUUGAGGGUACACGAUAAAAUAUGGUAAAAAUGAGUAAAGUGAUACCGGGGAGGGACAAAAUUAGGUGUCUACAUCAUGCCCCCUUUGGAUGUAAACACAAAGUGUUUUCAAACAAAGAAGUAGACAACAAGACCAAAUUUUGACCUGACCAUUACUCAAAGAAAGAAACAGAAGGAAGAAGGAAAACCGGGUCUUGACUUAAGACGUCUUACCUACCCAAGUUAUGAGAGAAUCAAGUCACGGGUAUUUCAAAGGAUUGGAAAGAGAAAAACUAUACCGAGUUGGAGAGUCGAAUGAGGUUCUGUCGAGGUUCUGAUCCACCGCUCUGUCAUUAUAUCAAAAUAAAAAUUACAAGUUAAAGUAUAAAUGAAAUUACAAAAAUCCUAUUUAUACAACUUCUGUUGGACUCCUGACUUAAGUUUCAUCACCCUAUUCUUCAGGCGGGCUCCUGACUUGCAAUUUCAUCACUUGUUGCUUGGUUUUCAAUUGCUUCACCUUGUUGCUUAAUUUUUCAUUUAUUCGCCCUGUGCUUCGGGCGGGCUCCUGGCUUACUAUUUCAUCACCCUAUUCUUCAGGCAGGCUCCUGACUUGCAAUUUCAUCAAUCUGCUGACUUUCACUUGCUUCAACUUGUUCUUUAGGUGGGCUCCUAAUAUAAUAUCAAAACUAAAAAAAAAUUAUCCCAAAUAAAGAUUAUUAUAAGGAGAUUUCAUUUGCCAGAAAAGUGAAGUUCCAAAUACAAGAAUUAAAUUUUGCCCCAGUUUAUCAUCAAAGGACAUUUGUGAAAGUCACAUCAUUAUGGGAAUCAAGGAAAAUAACUCGACUAAAAGGUACGCCUUAGAGGAAUCAAGGGGGAUGACUCGACUAAAAGGUACGUCUUAUAGGAAUCAAAGGGAGAUGACUCGACUAAAAGGUAUGUCUUAUAGGAAUCAAGGGGGAUGACUUGACUAAAAGGUACGUCUUCUAGGGGUCAAGGGAGAUGACUCGACUAAAAGGUACGUUUUAUAGGAAUCAAGAGGGAUGACUCGACUAAAAGGUACGUCUUCUAGGAAUCAAGGUGGAUGACUCGACUAAAAGGUAUGUCUUAUAGGAAUCAAAGGGAAUAACUCGGCUAAAAGGUACGUCUUCUAGGGGUCAAGGGGAAGGACUCGACUAAAAGGUACAUCUUCCAGGGGUCAAGGGAGAUGACUCGACUAAAAGGUACGUCUUCUAGGAAUCAAGGUGGAUGACUCGACUAAAAGGUAUGUCUUAUAGGAAUCAAAGGGAAUGACUCGACUAAAAGGUACAUCUUCUAGGGGUCAAGGGGAAUGACUCGACUAAAAGGUACGUCUUCUAGGAAUCAAUAGGGAUGACUCGACUAAAAUGUACGUCUUCUAGGAAUCAAGGAGGAUGACUCGACUACAAGGUACGUCUUAUAGGAAUCAAAGGGAAUGACUCAACUAAAAGGUACGUCUUCUAGGGGUCAAGGGAGAUGACUCGACUAAAAGAUACGUCUUCUAGGAGUGAAGGUUCAAUUUAAGAAGUGUAUCACCCAACAAAUGAAAACUAAAAUCCCUGGACAAGAAAAUGUGUCUCCGAGAGAUAUAAGAUGAUGAGUUUUUACCAUGAUUUGACUAUCAAACCUGUGCAACAACAUUGCUUCCUGCAUUUGUAAAAGUAAGGCAUUGCAGCCCUUGAUAUUUAUGCUCUGAAGUCCUUACUUUGAAGGUAAUAUGUUUCCUGUUUCAUCAAAGAAAACUUGUGACUUUAAAACAUGGUGGUUGGUUUGUGGCUUUGGCUUUCGUGGCACACUCUUGCCGUCAUCACAUUUAACCUUGCUUCCAACCAUUAGCCUGUGUCAUUGACUUGCUGCUUCAUUGACCAAACUCAAAUUAUUAAGAGUAAAUGAGACAAACACAACAUCUCUGCUUUGCCAUUCUUCUCAGAUAGACUUUUUGGAACCUUGGUAAUUCAUGCGUUCCCAGACUUAUUUGUUGAUAAAACUUUUCGGUUGCCUCAUUUUGGCUCACAAUCAUGUCUCUUUCAUGCGUUGGCCUUUUUGCCUUGCUUUGUACAGUUGAAUAAGUUGGUAGCCAGUUUUGAAAUCUUUUCUUACUUGUUUUGACAUAGACUUGACUCAAAGACAAGAGAAAAAUGAAAAUGAUUUUAUUUGGAUAAUUGACUCAAGAAAAAUAAAAAUAUAACUAUAGAAAAUAAGGAAAUGAUAAUAAAUGUCCCCAUUGAAAAAUAUGAAAUAAAAUUUUAUCUAACUCUAAUAAUUAUGACAUGCAUAUCGAAUUAAACUGUCUGAUCUUUCCAUCCAAAACUCUCACUAAUUGUUGUUAAUGACCUCAAAAUUGAGUUGCUUCCUUAGAUCAAUUGCAUUUAAGACCUCAUUCAGCUAGUGUCGCCUUGAACGGCUUUUGCUAACGAGCCUCUCUCAUUUUUCUUUUCUCAGCUCACCAUUGCCUUAUGGUGUCUGUGAGGAUUUUUCAUCAAUGAGACUCUCUUAUUUUCAUUUGUCUCAACUCACCGCCGUCUUACAGUGCCCGUGAGGGUUUUCACCGAUGAAUCUCUCAUUUUUAUCUCACUCAGCUUACCAUCGUCUUACGAUGCCCAUAAGGGUUUUCACCGAUAAGACUCUCAUUUUCAUUUCUCUCCUAAUUCCUUAUGCUGAGGAAGACAAGUAGUUCCCAAAAUUUAUCAUCACAUCCAUUGCAUGCUUAGCCUUAACAUUUUCAAAGAUUGAUCUAAAGGUCUUUCUUUGGUUAUAACUUGGCUUUUGGAUAGGGUUAGAAAGAAAGGAUAGCAUGAGGCCAAACGACACCUGAGGUGGGGUAGGACUUAUAACUUUUGGAAUUGACUCAAAUAAUGAGGAUUAACUCAUGCCCCAGUUUCUUUUGACUGGGCAAUUCUAAAUUAUUUAUUUGGUUGGCCGAGCCCAGAGUAGGGCAGCCUACGUAUCUCACCCCCGAGAGAGGAGAAUCAGGUCACACGUAUUCUGGCAGCUUGUUCUUUUGAUUGAUUCUGAUUUUUUGUUUCUUUUUUUCUUUGGGAUUUUUUUCUGACCCUAUUUUUGACACUUUUCUCUUCUCUUUCCUUUUGGAGACUUUUUUUUUUGACACUUUUCUUUUGAGUUUUACUGACUCUAUCUUGAUAUCAAAAGAAGGGUAUGAAAGAAAAUAAAACAAAGGCUUAAAUGGGGGUAAACAAAGGAUGACACGAUGUUUGGAUAGCAGAAUGAAAUGCCUUCGUCAUAUCAAUCUUUAAAAAUGUAAGUACAUAUCAUGCAAUAUGAAAGUGAAAGAAGAAGAUCACGUGUGGCAUCUUUUACAACAUUAACUUUGACUGAGUCUGUGCGUCACUAUUUCUUCUGCAAACUCCACCUUUAUUAUACAGUCCUCACAUUGAAUGACUCAUGAUUUUGUGGAGCUGAUUUUCUUUCUGUUCACACAACCACUAUUUGACCUAAUUGAGACAUGUCGUUCAGUUAAUGACCAAGUUAUUCUUGUGAUUCUCAAAAUAAGUGCCUUAAUUUCCAGAAAAGGCUUCAACUUGUCACCAAAUAUCUCAACACUCUAUCUAUUUUCUCAGAUGUUUCUCUCUUCUUCUUUUUCUUUUAACCUUAGCCCUUUGAUUCAAAGUUCAUUCUAAAACUGGUUUUCAAGAUCCAACUGAAAAUUCCACAAGCAUGUCAUAUCACUAGAAUCAACAUAAAAUGGACUGUGUAAAGAAAACAAACAACACAUAUUUAAAACACAAAGGGAAAGGGAUACUUCAUUUAGUUGAAAUAAAAUAUAGAAGGGUUUGAACAUACACGACAAAGGGAUAAAACAAGAUAGAUCCCGAACUACAAUCCUGAAAUAAUUCAGAAAACAGAUAAGAAAAUAAAACAAACUACUAGACCUCUUCCUAGUAGGGAGAGGGGUGACUUCUCAAUUGCUCAGCCUGAAAACUUAGCCACUGGUUUGCAUAUUAGCUUGACUAGAGCUUCUCUCACUGUCAGACACAUUCCCUUCAGCAAAUAAGUUUUGGGUCCCCAUACUUAACUUAUUGCCUCCCACAUAUUUUGCAGUACCACAUACUGGUGAAGAACUCUGUAGGAUGCUCGAGGUGUCAACGUUUUGCACUAUAAUCACUUUUUCUUGAAUUAUCUUUUCUAUUUCUCUUUUCAAAGUACGACAAUCUUCAAUAUUGUGACCCUGAACAUUACAAUGAUAUGCACACCGUACAUUAGGAUUAAAAUUUCUUGAAUAUGGGUCAGGUAUAUACCCAAGGAGAGGAGUAAUCAUGCCUUUCUGUCUCAAACUCUGGAACAAACUAGCAUAAGAUUCCCCAAUAAGAGUGAAAUUAUCCUUUUCCUUCCUCCUCUUUGCAAACUCUAGCCUCGGAUGAAACUUAGAUUUAGAGGUUCCUUGGUAAAUUUGUGGGGGUUGAGGACGACGUUGAGGGAUAGGUGCAUGUCAUUGUGGAUAAGAAGACGGAUGAGCAUACAACUGUGCAUUGUUCAAAGGAUAAUAUUGAAGAAGUGGAAUGGGAUUUCUUGGAUUUUGGAAAAAGAAACCUUGUUACAAGUGGUUAUGUGGAUCUAAUAUGUAAGCUCGGGAUUAAGGCUGACAGUAUUGGUGAGUUGGAUCUCUCAAACUCUGCUUUGGCCUUGGCAUGACAAUAGGUGCGUUUUCCUUCUUCUUUCCUUCAGUUUUCCUUGGUUAAUUGCAAUGUCGUCCUAAAUGUUUCACAAAGUCCUUCUGUCCAUCAGGCUCCCCAAAUUUUGAUGUCUCAAAGUUGGGAGGAAGGUUAACACUUGAAGACAUACCCCAGUUUUUAUAUGAAACAUCUUCAUAGCCCAUAAGUCCAAGGGAAUUUUUCCAUAUCAUUUUAUACACUCUUAACUUUCCCAACCACUUUCUCUAGCUCUUCUAGCAUGCUAGGCUUCUUAGUAAGAAAUUUUGGCAGUCCCCUUAAUUUAACGGUAGGCUCAAGAGUAUAACAAUGAUCAUCAAGAAUAUUGAACGUGGAUUAAUUAGUGGACUGGGGAAGCACAAUCGUUGGAUUGAUAGCCAAAGUGGAAGUCUUAGUAGAAGGUUGGGCAACAAAAGCACAGACAGUAUGUGGUGCUGUGAAUGAGGUAGACUUAUACUGAGGAGCUAAAGAAAAAGUGGUGGAAGUAUUGAGGUGCAUUUGACAUGGAAUGGAUUCUAAGGCAUGCUGUGGUGUAUCAACAACAGUAGAAAACUGACUUUGCGAUUUUGGUGGAAGACUUAAGGUAUUUGCAGGGUCAAAAGUGGAGAACGGAGGUGGAGGCAGCCCACUGGCCCAAGCUCGGUACAUUUCUAUCAUUUGUUGUCUCAGUGUCAAAUUCUCUUCCUUUAAACUCUCAAUUUUCUGACUCUUUGUUUCAUCCAUGGUGCCACUCUCUAUAUCUUUGUUGUACACAACUAAACCUUCCUUGGAUUUGGUGUGAUAUGGAGGACCAGCCAGGAAGCCACAAACCAAACACUUUAAACUAACUGAGCAAGAGGCAACAAAUAUGUUAGAGUUCAAUAUUUUUUCAAAACCUCUUUUUUUUUCUUUUUUUGAAAAGACCACCGAACUCAAGAAGGGCGCCUACGUAUCUUGCCCCCGAGAGAGGAGAAUCAGGUGUGCGUAGUUGGUGAAUUCUUGCCAAAAUGGCCAAUUAAACUCUUUUUCUUUUUCUUUUUCUUGGAACUUUAAGAAGAAAACAAAAUAACAAAUUAUCAAAACAAUUGACGAAAAUCUUUUUGCAUUUUUCAGAUUUAAAUUUCCUAUACAAAGUGAAACCUAUGACAACCAAAGAAAAAUCUCUUUUUGAAUUUUUGAUUCUAAAUUUCAUAUGAAAAUGAAACGUGAAAGUAUUAAAGGAAAAUCUUUUUUGUGGUUUUCUUUUCGAAGAUGUAUAUGACACACCUACUCUAAAUGAAGAGUGAAGAAAAUCUUUUUAGAAUUUUUUUUUUCAUAUUUCUAUACAAAAUAAAACCUAUGAUUACCAAAGAAAAUCUUCUUGGGUUUUCAAUUUCGAAUUUCAUAUGAAAAUGAAAAUUGAACCUAUUAAAGGAAAAUUUUUUUGUAGUUUUCUUUUAUUGAUGUAUAGACACCUACUCUAAAUGAAGCGUGAAGAAAAUAUUUUUUUGAAUUUUUUGAAAUAAGAUCCCCGAAUCAACAAUAGGUUGCCUACGUAUCUCACAUCCCAAAAGAGGAGAAUUAGGGGUGCGUAGUUUAUCUAGAUUGGACAAUUAACGAUUAACAAACAGAUUGACCCUAACUUAAGAGACACAACCAAAGACAAAUGAAUAAAAUAAUUUUUAGGUUUUUAAUUAGUCACUUCAACUAAAACUGACACCAACAAUUACGAAGGAAAAUCUUUUUAGCAUUUUCAGUAUAUAAAAAUGUACAAAGCUCCUAUUGAAAGGAAAAAAAUAUUUUUGGAGUUUUCGAAUUAUGAAUGCUUACUAAUGACAUAAAAGGAAAUUUUUUUAACGUUUUUGAUUUUUUGGGAAAUGAGUGCAAAAAGUAAAAAAAAAAAUAUUUUUAAAAAAAUUUUUGAAUUGUGAAAAACAAAAGCCAUAAAGAACCCUAAAAGCUACCAAAUUUUUUUUUUUCACUCUUUUUUUUUACAAUUUCUUUCCUACACACUUUGCUUCUAACUCAUGCUUUUGUCCAAAUCAAUCUGUCAAAUAACCUCGUUACCCUAAAACAUGCAACAUUUAGCAUGUAGGGAUGUCUUAGAGGUGAGUUUGGACCAAGUGGACGCCACUAGGUCUGAAUAUGAUGCACAUAAGCAUGACCUAAAGGCUGACCUAUGUUGGGGUUCACUAACAAGGCUGUUUGGGGGAGCGUAUGGCCGAUAGUGGCUGCUUUGCUUUCCACCUACCCAUAACACCGACGGAUCCCCCUCCUAAAAUAAGGGUGACUCAACUAGAGGUCGUGUACAACACAUGUACUACAGACUUGUUGCAGAAAGAAUGACUCGGGUUAUGCGCAUGAUGCCAGAUAUAAAAUGGUAACAUAUAAUAUAAAAAAUGUAAAUAAAGAGCACGUACGCACUCAAUAGUGAUAAUACAAUAACACAAACAACACAAACAAAAUGUCUAUACACCUAUAGUGCCAAACUAAGCCGAUACAACUCCAAAAAAUAAGCUCGAAUUCUGAAAAAUUCCCAAUAGAGUCGUCAGAGCUGUCACACCCUUUUUUUACCAUCAAAAGAUCAUUUUUAAGUUUCAAAAGGGUUUUAAUUAUUAAAGUGACAAAAGAUGAAAAUAUAUUUCGAAAAGGACUUUUAUAUUCAAAACUCAGAGUCGCCACUUGGCAUAAAUCAGGUGGGCCAAGUUACAUUUGGAAAUCCUUUUUCAAAAUGAUUUUAACUCUUUUAAACUGAUCCACAAACAGAGAUUCUAGUUAAGAAAUUCUGUUGAUCGAGGGAAAAGUGUUAGGCACCCCUCGAUCCCGUGGUUCGACCACGGUCGCUUGAUGGAACAUAUUGGUUAAUUUGACACUACAAAAUGUACAAUCCAUACAAAAAUAGACAAAAACAAUUAAUCAAAUAAACAAAACAAAACCAGUCCAAAAAUAUAAUGUCCAGUCCAAUUAUACAGUCCAAAAAUAGAAAAAUGCAAAAAUAUAAAUCCUAUUCUAAGCUAAUCCUAGAACUACGCUCCAAUGUCUUAUCCGAUGCCUCGGGCCUUGAUCACGAGCCUCCUCUGCGUACAUAGUACUUCGGAGCAAUCCCCGAAUAAAUCAAUACAAAUCCCUCGGGGCAUUCCCCGAUCAAAUGAGUACAAUUUUAAUUUUGUGCGACAAAAUAGGACGAAUCAUCCACACACAUAUUCAAACACUCAACAACUCGUUAUUCCUAAAUUUGCCUGCCUAGUCCGAUCUAUCAUGACAUUAUCACAUUUAACGACAUUAGUGAAUUAAAAAAUAAUGCCUGCUCUCUAUCAAUUUUCAUUUUUGCCCCUCAAUAGCCGAUUUUAAUUCUCAAUCAGUGAUUAACGCAUGCUUCGAUUAUCAAUUCACUUUUCAAAGUCCGAAAUCAACAUCAAUCAAUACACAAAAAAGAUUCGAACAUACCAAACAUCAAAUCAUUCCUAUCCACGUGAGAAUUAAAGAGAGAAGAUAAAAUUGAACCUCAAAUGUCGAUUUUAAUAUAUCAGAGAUAAAACCACAGCCAGAGAACCUCGAUUCGAACCUCGAUAAUGAAUCAAACCAACUCGGUACCAAAAAUAGCCAAUUCGUACAGAUUUAAAACCCCCAUAAAGAAGAAAUAUCAAGCAAAUUGAGACUAAACCUCGCCGGAACCAACUCGAAUUCCACCAGAAUUAAACCAAUAGAACUGAUAUAACACUUAUACGCCGUUUAAUGGUGUUUUCGGCUGAAACAGUACAAUAGUCACCGGCUAAACGUUUUUCCGGCCAAACUCGUUAGAACGAACGAUCCAAGAACGCUAUUCGACGAUAGAUCUUGAAGGUAUUGGUGGAUUCGGGGUUAAUACUGGUGGUUUGGGACUUUUUCCGGUGACAGUGAACGAGAAAGUGACUGUUAUGCUUUUUCCGGUAGCGAUUCCGGUAGGAGUUUCGCCGGAAAACACCUACCUCACUAUCUUCGUCGCUCUUUCAAUCUCUCUCCCUCGCGGUUCUCUGCUUUCUCUCUUUCUCUCGCUGCUUCUCUCUUUCUUUCUCUUGCUAUUUUAUUCUCUCUCAAGAUCUCUCCCUCUUUUCUCUUGAUUUCUCCCUUUCUCUGUCUCUUCUGUCCCAUUUUUCGUCCGAUCUAGUGUAUGUGUAUAUGAGUAUAUGUGUGUGCAGCUUGGGGGUUCAAAAAAAUGGAGUCCCCUCCUCUGUAAUGAAUGAUGAUGUGUAUGUAUAUAUUCUGUAAAGGACCAAUUCCAAAUUAGGAGUAUGUGGAUCCCCC
rnacentral:lncRNA from 1 species